CCCUUAGAUGUUCUGGGCUGCACGCGCGCUACACUGAAGCUAUCAACACGUUUUCCCUCCCUGAGAAGGGCGGGUAACCUUUUGAAUCAGCUUCGUGGUAGGGAUCGGGGCUUGCAAUUGUUCCCCGUGAACCAGGAAUUCCUAGUAGACGCGAGUCAUAAGCUCGCAUCGAUUAAGUCCCUGCCCUUUGUACACACCGCCCGUCGCUACUACCGAUUGAACGUUUUAGUGAGGCAUUUGGACCGACGCAUCUCAGUUUAACCGCUGGUUUGUGCUGGAAAGACUUCCAAACUUGAGCGUUUAGAGGAAGUAAAAGUCGUAACA
rnacentral:rRNA from 1 species